UGCAGGCUGCAACCCGCCUGUAUGAAGUUGGAAUCGCUAGUAAUCGCGGAUCAGCAUGCCGCGGUGAAUACGUUCCCGGGCCUUGUACACACCGCCCGUCACACCAUGAGAGUCGGGAACACCCGAAGUCCGUAGCCUAACCGCAAGGAGGGCGCGGCCGAAGGUGGGUUCGAUAAUUGGGGUGAAGUCGUAACAAGGUAAC
rnacentral:rRNA from 1 species